AACCCUAAUCCGAAGACCAUCGGACCACGUGUUGAUCGAGAUCGAGUUGAAGGAGAUGGCCGUUGAAGAGGCUGAAAAAACUGCUCCAGCUCUUGGGGAGCCUAUGGACUUGAUGACAGCUCUCCAACUUGUGAUGAAGAAAUCAUUGGCUCAUGAUGGGCUUGUUCGUGGUCUCCAUGAGGCGGCCAAGGCAAUUGAGAAGCAUGCAGCACAACUUUGCAUUCUAGCUGAGGAUUGUAACCAGGCUGACUAUGUCAAGCUAGUCAAAGCACUUUGUGCUGAUCAUAAUGUGCAUCUAGUAACAGUGCCAAGUGCCAAAACCCUUGGCGAGUGGGCAGGG